UAGUGUGGCAGUUAACAAAUACCAGUUAACGUGGUGAAUGUUUCCAAAAAAAGUGGUUCAUCAGGGAUUAGGAAACUAAAGAAUUGCUUCUUCUUGCGGCUUCACCGCUUCAGUAAACCCAGAAGUAAAAUUACAUAAUUUUAAAAAAAAACUAACGUGGGUAGCGGCGUGGGUUGCGAAGCCUCUGACUGUGGGUAGCGGCGGCGAAGCCUCUGGCUGUGUUUUGUUGUUGCGGCUGUGGGUAGCGGCGAAGCCUCUGGCUGUGGGUAGCGGCGGCGAAGCCUCUGGCUGUGGGGUGCGGGCCGUGCGGCUGAGAGGCAGAGACGGAGAGGGAGGUUGUGGGUAGCGGCGACGGCAAAGCUUAUGACUGUGGGGUGUGGGCCGUGCGGCUGAGAGGUAGAGACGGAGAGGGAGGUUGUGGGUAGCGGCGGCGGCGAAGCCUCUGACUGUGGGGUGUGGGCCGUGCGGCUGAGAGGCAGAGACGGAGAGAGAGGACUGUGGUCCAGUAGGGUGCGGCGGAGAAGAAGAAUGAAAUGAAAGCAAUGGAAAUAUCGAACCCUAGUCCAAAUUUCUGCUCUUUGACUGCUAAAAUGACAAAAAUGCCCUUCUUUGUCGAGCUCAAUCGAACUACUUGGUUAAAAAGAGAAUUCGAGCUU
rnacentral:lncRNA from 1 species